ACCCUGCAGAUUCCCUAACCCCUCAGACCCAAGUAUUUGUCUGCGUGGCAUAAAAAGGAGGAAAAGUCAAACAGAAGUGGGUUUAUACUUUUUAGUAACAUACAAGUUCAUUUCAAAAAGUU
rnacentral:snoRNA from 1 species